UACGGGGGGAGCAAGCGUUGUUCGGAUUUACUGGGCGUAAAGGGCGCGUAGGCGGCCACUGCAAGUCGGUUGUGAAAUCUCCGGGCUUAACCCGGAAAGGUCAAUCGAUAACUGCAGGGCUAGAGUGCAGAAGGGGCAACUGGAAUUCUCGGUGUAGCGGUGAAAUGCGUAGAUAUCGAGAGGAACACCUGCGGCGAAGGCGGGUUGCUGGGCUGACACUGACGCUGAAGCGCGAAAGCUAGGGAGCGAACGGG
rnacentral:rRNA from 1 species